GUGACUAGCUACCUACUGUAACAACUUCCCUUUCAAGAGUCCAAGACCUCAAUUCUUUGGAGAAAAAUGGAUGAAGUCUACAGUAGAGUGCAGUGAUGUGUUCGGCCUUCACAUUCACUCACUAGUGCUUCAUUGACUCACCCAGAGCAACUUCCAAUCGUGCAAGCUCCGUUCAAGGUGCUGGAUAUUAGACCUUCGUCAGACACAUAGACCAGUGGAACAGAAUAGAGAACCCAGAAAUUAGAUCACUCAUCUUCAACCAUCCAAUCUUCGACAAACCUGACAAAAAGCAAUGGGGAAAGGACUCCCUGUUCAAUAAAUGGUGCUGGGAGAAAUGGCUGGCCAUAUUGUGUCUAGAAUUUAUUCCUUCCAGUGGGUUCUUGGUCUCGCUGGCUUCAAGAAUGGAGCCGCAGACCUUUGCAGUGAGUGUUACAGCUCAUAAAGGUGUUGCAGACCCAAAGAGUGAGCAGCAGCAAGAUUUACUGUGAAGAGCGAAAGAACAAAGCUUCCACAGCAUGGAAGGGCACUUUCCGCUGCUGGCUCAGGUGGCCAGCUUUUAUUCCCUUAUUUGGCCCCACCCACAUCCUGCUGACUGGUCCAUUUUACAGAGCCCUGAUUGGUCCAUUUUACAGAGUGCUGAUUGGUGUGUUUACAAUCCUUUAUCUAGACACUGAGCACUGAUUGGUGCGUUUUUACAGAGGGCUGAUCAGUGCGUUUAUUUUCCUUUAGCUAGACACAGAGCGCUGAUUGGUGCGUUUUUACAGAGUGCUGAUUGGUGCAUUGACAAUCCUUUAGCUAGACACAGAGUGCUGAUUGGUGCAUUUUUACAGAGUGCUGAUUGGUGCAUUUACAAUCCUUGAGCUAGACACAGAGCGCUGAUUGCGUUUACAAUCCUCUAGCUAGAUAGAAAAGUUCUCCAAGUCCCCACUUGACCCAGGAAGUCCAGCUGGCUUCACUUCUCAAUAUGUAGAAAAUUGAAACUGGACCCCUUCCUUACACCACAUACAAAUAUUAAAUCAAAAGAGAUUAAAAACCUAAAUGUAAAACUCAAAACUAAGAAAACCUUGAAAGACAGCUGAGGCAAUACCAUUCGGGACAUAGGCCAUGAGCAAAGAUUUCAUGAGAAAAAUGCCAAAGGCAACUGCAAGAAAACAAAAAAUUGACAAAUGGGACCUAACUAAACUGAAGAACUCUGCACAGCAAAAGAAACUGUCUGCAGAGUAAACAGACCACCUACAGAAUGGGAGAAAAUGUUUGCACUGAUUUACUUUCACAAAGUCAGUUUGUGAAAGAAAAAGAGAACAAGUGGAAUUUGAAAGGCAAUGGCUAAUUUCUUAUGCAUCAGUGAAGACAUUGGAAUCCAAUAGAGUUGAGUGCAAAGCCCACCCUGCCCCAAUUCUGUGCCUAUAAAGACCUCAGGCUCAGCCAGCAGAGAGGAAAAGUGGCUGGAUGUUGAGAGAGGCAGUUUGACUCCAGAGAUGGCAGCUGGAUGUCGGAAAGCAGCAACUUGACUUCACAAGAGAGAGGCAGAGGUGACUUAAUAUCAGAGGAGAGCAACCUGCCCUUCCCAUCCCCUUUCCAUCUCCCCUCUUGCUGAGAGCCGCUCUCGUCACGCAAUAAAAUUCACCACAUUCACCAUCCUUCAAUUUAUAUUUGCGACCUCAUUCCUCUUGGGCACCGGACAAGAAUUUGGGAUGCACCAAGUGUGGACACCCACAAAGGCUGUCACAGUGGCCCUUUGCCAUUGCCAGCAGAGGGCAGCUGCCCCAUGCAAUAAGCCAAAGGGCUGGCUGAGCUGAUAACACACUGCUUUCUGUGGACGGCGGCGGAGCUAAAAGAGUAUUGUAACAUGCCCUCUGGGGCCUUGGGGAACCCCACCUGGAUCCUGCCAAGAGGCCUGCAUGAAGUUUGCUCCUGCCAGCACUAAAGCAGCCAGUUUUUUCCUGCACUCACUCACCUGCACACUUCCUCCUGCGAUGGGUGGGACACAGUCAACCUGAGUGAGCAGAGUUUGCUCAUGCAGGCACCUAAAUUGCUGGCAAGUUCCUGAGCUCAUUCGCUUCAAUUCCCGUACUCAUUUGCAUGGGUGCUCCCUCCCACAAGGGGUUGAACAGGACAGGUUGAGUAAAUGGUGCACCCCUCUUUUGAGUCCCACCAAGGGUCAAGAAAAUAUCCUGCAUCACUUUGUCAACUUAUGCCACUUAAAGGACAUGCUGCCUACUUUAGACUUAUUUACAAGUUUGCAUAAUUUUUAGACAUAGACAACGCCGUUUAUCUCUGCAAUUACUAUCAAUUCUAACCUAGGAAGCACCAAGUUAAUGGCAAUAAAAAAAAAAAGAAUAAACAACUGUUUCCAGCAACAAGGUGACUGUACCAGUAAUUAAUUUAUUGCCUUCCAGAGGCAAAUUCACUAUUGCCUGUUCUGAGAAAAAGAAUCUGGGCCCUUCAAAUAGCUGCCAGAAUGUAAAAACUUGCCAGCAGAUGGUGGUGGAGAGAUGCUGGAGGUGGAAGGGAUUUCAUCCCAGGUCUGGUAUGCUCCCUCAUCAGGCUCUCACAGUGGAACACACCUUCUCCAACACCUGGCUCCUGUUCAGCAGCACCCAGAGACCAUCAGCUUCCUUUUGCACUCCUUUCAGAUAAUUUAGCAGUUGAGUCUCUCUGGAAAAAUCAAUAGCUUUCCAUGACACCCCAGAGGAUGAAUCUCCUGCCUGCCCAAAAGGCAUAUUUUCAGCAAUUUCUUCCAGUACAGCCCCACUGCAACUACUCUGCCACCCAGUGAGAGCCACAUUCUCUUUUCUUUUUUUUCUUUUUUUUAAUUUUUGAUUUCCAACUUUUAAGCUCAAGGGAACAUGUUCAGGAUAUAGAGUGUGCAGUUUGGUACAUAGGUAAACAUGUGCCUUGUGGUUUGCUGCACAGAUCAUCCCAUCACCUAGGUAUUAAGCCCAGCAUCCAUUAGCUGUUCUUCCUGAUGCUCUCCCUCCUCCCAUGCCCCACCCUCCAACAGGCCCUAGUCUGUGUUGUUCUCUCCCCGGCAAUUCCUCAAAGACUUAGAGGCAGAAAUACCAUUUGACCCAGCAAUCCCAUUAUUGGGUAUAUACCCAAAGGAAUAUAAAUCAUUCAAUCAGGAACAUAUACGCAUGUGUACGUUCACUGCAGCACUAUUCACAAUAGCAAAGACAUGGAAUCAACCUAAAUGUCCAUCAAUGAUAGACUGGAUAAAGAAAAUAUGGUACAUACACACCAUGGAAUACUAUGCAGUCACAAAAAGGAAUGAGAUCAUGUCUUUUGUAGGGACAUGGAUGGGGCUGGAAGUCAUUAUCCUCAGAAAACUAAUGCAGGAACAGAAAAACCAAACAGUGCAUGUUCUCACUUAUAUGUGGGAGCUGAGUGUUGAGAACACAUGGACACAUGGUAGUGAGCCACAUUCUUACCCUUUCCAAUAAGGCUUGAAUCUCAUCUUGGUAGGGAGGGAGCAGUCUUACUGGAUGCUGUAUUUCAGCACCAGGGAUUGGAGAACACUCCCUCACUUUUGCAUCAGCUAAUCCUGUACUCUAUAAAAUUCUUUUCAUUUAUUACAAUCCUAUUCCUCCAUACACAAAUCUCCUGUUAAAAUUAAUAACUUUUAUAUCAAACUUCCUCUGUUCACAUUACUGUGUUGGUUUCUCCCUCCUGAUUGGAUCACAACUGAUACAAUUGGGUUAAAUACUUUUUCAUAAAAUAAAUUAUUAAAUCCAUUCCUUUAGUGUGUAAGUAUUUAGAGUUUACAAAUUACUGAGAUUUAAUUCUACAAAUUAUACAUAUUUACAAUCUAGGUGAAGGCACUCAAGAGAUAUUUAAACAUUUCCCCUCUAAGACAUCAGUUUAAAGAAAGACAGAAAGAAAGAAAGAAAGAAAGAAAGAAAGAAAGAAAGAAAGAAAGAAAGAAAGAAAGAAAGAAAACCCUUUGCUAGCACAAAACAGUCCCCAAAACCUUACUGUUGGGGUUGAGAAACUGAUACCUCCUAUGGCACUUUGGAAUGCUGAGUACUUUGAAUCAAAGGAGUUGAAAGACCAUAGAAGCAACUUCAGAACCAAUGUCACUCUGACCUCCUGCUCUUCUGUCUCUUACCCUCUUUCUCCUGCAAUAGUGCAAGGAGGGGCUCUCCCUGAACUUUCCUUAUCUGUCUAAAGAUUGGCCCUCUAGAAAGAAUACACUUGUCAUGAGUGUUUUUCCUGGGAAUCUCAUCAGCCAGGGAAAAGUAAAAGUAUCACAGGGGAGGAAACUGAAAGUUGACAACAUGCCCAGGCAGAUUUUAUCACAGACUAUCGCCUCUUUUUCUGAGACUGUUUAUUACCUGAAAGACCUUUUGUUUGCAUAACAAGACAACCUUUGUUCACCCUGCAUUUUCUCCCCUCACUCUCCCAUAACUUGUGUCACCACCAACCCUAGAAUCCCCAGGCCUGUAUUCCUUUCUUCAGCUCAAGAUGUUAUAUAUGUUUCAAUCAUCUGCCCCCUUUUCAAGUCUCAUAUUUUGUGGGACUCCUAUGUGUAUGCAAAUAAUUAAAAUGUUUUUUUCUCCUGUUAGUAAUUAUCAAACCUUCAGAGGAUAAAGAAAGUUUCCUUUCUCUAUAUUAAUAAUCUCUAGUCCCAACAUUCCAUUCCUCAUUCCCCAGCAUUCACACACACAUUUCCAUGCUGCUUUUCAACAAAAAGUUUUAUUUCCUGCAGUGUAGCAAAAUAACAUGAUUCUAAGUUCUCUUUUAUAAAAUCUGUUAGCUAUUAUAAUUCCUUCACUCACUUUCCCCUUUGUAAUAAAUUUUUCCCCAUCCAUUAAAAUAAUAUGGGCUUAGUAGAAUGCUUAAAAAAUAAAGAUCCACAUGAAAAAUUUAAAGUCAUGUAUAAACAUAUAAUUUAGUGAUAAUUAGUGUUAACAUUUUGGCUCAUUUUCUCUUUGCCUUUGUAAAAUUACAUUAGUCUUGGAUUUGUUUCUUUUCCUACCCCUAUCACAAAAGAUGCUCCUCUUCAUCCAUGGUUACUAUUUUAGUGUGCCCUAAAGGAUAUCACAGCUGAUAUGUCAGGCUACAGUUGUAACUUCCCUAAAAUUAUGACCUUCUUCUAUCGUUGAUGUUGUCACCACGUGGUAAUGAAAUCUUAGGAUAUUAUAAAUAGUUUGGUAUUUGAUUCUCAUAUUUAAUAAUGAAUCUAGAGAUUUCAGGGAAGAAAUAAAGUUGAUAUUGUUUGGAUAUUUGUUCCCUUUAAAUGUCAUCUUGAAAUUUGAUCCUCAGUGUUGGAGGUGGAGCUUAGUGAAAGGCAUCUAGGUCAUGCAGCACUCCUAGCACCUCCAAGGUCUGCUUUUUCAAAAGAGUCUGGAGCCUCCCUUUAUUCACUUUUUCCUUCUCUCUCACCGUGUGUUGGUUUCUCUCCUUUCCCUUCUGCCAUGAGUGAAAACUUUCUGAAGCCCUCAUCAGAAGCAGAUGCUGGUACCAUGCUUGCACAGCCUGCACGAGUGUAAGCCAAAUAAACCUCUUUUCUUUAUAAAUUCCUCAGCCUCAUAGUAUUCCUUUACAGCUAUGCAAAUGGACUAAGACAAGAGUUGAUCCCCUUCAACCACACAGAAAAAGACUUCCACUUUGUUGAAUUUGCUUCAUUUACAAACAAAACUCUAAUAAUAAUAGUAUACAGAGAAUUAAAGAAUACAAUUGAUCAUAUGCACUGACUUAGAAAAGGAAUGCACAUGGGAUGGCAAAAUAGAGAAGGCUUCUUGUGAGUGUGUGGGGGAGGCAGGAUAGGGUUAUCUGGGUCUUUAAAAAAACACUUGACUUAAGCAGAGAGGGCUAUGAGAGGGCUUAAUAAAAGUACAGAGGUAGAAAUACAGAAGAGGUAUAAAAAUAACAAAUAGUCUUAUGUGAUUACAACUUGACAUAUGUAAUUUAGCGGAAGCAUUUUCUACUUCUGAAACAAAUUAUGAUUAACACUUCCUGUAAUAGGUUUAUAAUUAUGUAAACCUAUUUAAAUCAAUCAUUUGCACAACAAAAUGAAUGAAUUAAUUUGUUGCAGCUGUGUUUACUGAGGCACACAUGUAAAGCAAUUUUAAAUGCUGUCAAGUAACAAUGAUUUCGUUUCAUGACUCACACUAAGUGAGAAAUUCUGAUUUUUUUAAGACAAAGUUUAAAAAAUCAAAAACUUAAAACUCCUGGAACUAAAAGCAUAGAAGAAAAGCUUCAUGACAUAGGACAUGACAAUGUGUUCUCACAUAUGACACCAAAGCACAGGGAAAGAAAGCAAAAGUAGAAAAGGGACUAUAUCAAACUCAAAAACUUUUGUGCAUUGAAGGACACACCUAACAGCCUGAAAAGGCAACCUAUGGAGUAGGAGAAAAUAUUUGCAAAUCAUAUAUAUCUAUACAUAUAUAUGGAUAUGAUAGUAAAUUGUUAUACAGAAAAUAUAAAAAGAACUUCUAUAACUCAAUAACAAAAAUCAAAUAACUUAUUUUUUUAAAUGGGCUAAGGACUUGAAUAGAUAUUUCUCCAAAAGUAAUACGCAAAUGGACCACAGUCAUAUAAAACAAAUAUUUGACAUCAUAAAUAAUUAGGGAAAUGCAAGUUAAAAUCACAAGAUAUCAUCUUACAUUCACUAGUAUGACUGCUAUCAAAAAAAUGAAACAAAACAGAAAAUAACAAAUGUUAGUGAGAAUGUGGAGAAAUUGGAACCCUAGUACACUGUUGGCGGGAUUGUGCAACCACUAUGCAAAAAUUAUAAAAAAUUAAAAAUAGAACUACCAUAUUACCCAACAAUUCCACAUCUGGGAUUUUAACCAAUACUUUUAACCAAAAGUAUUGAAAGAAGAGUCUCAAAGAGAUAUUUGAACACUCAUGUUUAUAGAAGCACUAUUUAAAACACCAACAAGUAGAAGCAGCCCAAAUAUCCAUUGACAAGUGAAUGGAUGAAGGAAAUGUAGUAUAUACACAUACAAUGGAAUAUUAUUCACCCCUAAAAAGGAAAUCUUGUCACAUACUACAGCAGGGAUAAGCCUGAAUGAUAUGCUAAAUAAAUAAGCCAGUCACAAUAAGACAAAUACUGUAUGAUUCAACUUCUAUAAAAUGGUGAUUACUAGGGACUGAGGUGAAAAAGUUCUAGAUAUAUGUAUUACAACAAGUUGAAUAUACUUAAAACUACUGAAUUGCACUCUUAAAAUGAUUAAAAUGAAGAAAAUACAUGUUUUUAACUACAAUUUAAUUUUUUUUAAAUCACAAAUUUAGUGAUAGGUAUGUGGCUUUAUAGAUGUUUUAAUCCAAACUUCACAUUUUAACAAUAAAAGUACUAGGACCUUAGAAGAUGGGUGACUGGUUUCAGAUUAUCCAGUCAAGAUGAAAAUUUAUGCCUUCCAAAUUACCACAUCUUAGGUGUCUUCAUCUGCUAGCUUAAUCCCAGGUUGUUCCUGGACUAUCUCUACAUCAAGCAGUGAAAGCUUAACUCCCUUCAUGUUUUACGAUGGAUAAAUAUGUGAGGUGAAAAUCAAGAGGCUAGCAUUGACCCAAUGUACAUCAUCUAUCAAGGAGACAAUGUUCGUUUGUUCUUUGAUGAAUCUCUAAGACAACAUUGUCAUGAUUUUGUUUUCAUCACACAUUUGCAUUAGGU
rnacentral:lncRNA from 1 species